GCUUAGCAAGGCUGUAUCUAUCACGCGAUACGGUGAUAAUUAUGUUGAUAAAACGCCAGUCACCCUCGAAUUUAUCAUCCUUACUAUGGUUGCAGACGAUAUAUGGCGUUAUCUACAUUUGACAGCGGUAGAUGAUAGAAGACAAUUUGCAUAACAUGGUCGUUGGUUAACAUGUGGAUAAUUUGACAGCUUGUCCCAUUUUGACAGUUCAACUUAGAUAAUUUUAACUACGUUCUUCUUAGGUCACGAUAAGCCUUGUCGUGAAAGCAAAAGUAGUGAAUAAUCAUAUUUUAAGGUAUAAAAUACAGGUAAAUAUCAGUUUUUCUAUGAUUAUAUUGAGAGUUAUUAGUUCCAAUGUUCCGCUGUAUAUAAUAUUGUCAAUAUUUUCUUUGCAGGGAAGUCAAAUUUUAUUAUUCCUACUCGCGGCUGCCGUUGAAGAUAAAGAGCCUCGAAAAAUCUCGUAAAUAGCAUUAAGAAACGCUUACAACGCUUUUGAUAUGCCGGACGAAGAGUUUCGGCGUAUUUACAGAGUGCGUAAGAAGUGUGCAGUGCAUUUAGCUACGAACUUAACGCCGAGCCUCAAAACGGUGAUGGGUUACCUACCAAAACACCUCAAAAGGUUCUAACAGUAUACACCACACCAGCAGCACACCUACACCACCAGCAGCAGCAGUAGCUGCUGGUGUGUAGCAGUUACACCUGCUAGCUGAUGGCAACUACCAACGCGGGACUAGUCAAGAUCAUGGCUUGUCCCUUGGAGUACCACUGACUAGAUUGGCCACACUACGGUAAGCCUGAACCUAUCUCGAGCAGUUUGUAGAUGCUGUAAACAGAAGAAAACUUCUCGUGGAUCAAGGGAGAAAUUAGGAAAGGCGCUCCUAAGUGUUUCUAAGCAUCAUGCACAAAACCGGCGCUUAAUAAGGUUAAUAAAUACAUAUUUCGCCUA